UUUCCCCAGCCUGAUUGCAGUGCCGGGGAGGGGAACUGAGUCUAGGCUCAGUUCCCUUCCCCUGCACUGUUAUUGGCUUCCCAUAGCCCUGCGGCAGCAGACGUAGAGAGCCAGGGCUGUGCUCCCAGCUGUUAGUGGGAGCAUAGCUCUGAUUCUCCUCUGUCUUUCACCACCUUGCUGCUGGCUGCUUUGAAACUCAAAACAUUUAAAAACUUUUGAAACAUUUUGACUAGCCUUGUUUUGUUUCAAGGCUGUUUUGAAGCCCUUCAUUUUGAUUCGAUUUCACUGUUUUGAGCUCGAAAUGAGUUGAAAGUGUCAAAUUGAAACAGCCAGUGAAAUUUUGCACAGCCCUAAUACACAUGGCUCCAGGCAGUGUGGAGAGCAGCUCCUGCAUGAGGUGGCUGGCUUCCUGGCGGUAAGAAAAGGAUGGAUAUGGUGUGAUGCGACAGCACAUGAAAAAUGUGAGGCCUGCAACAAUGCCCUUGUGCUAAAUUGGGUGGUUUCAAGGCUGAGGAGGAAGGAGGCUUGAACAGAACAGUCAGACUACUACAAGAUCCUCUCAUGGCUGAGACACUGACAGAGAAGUGGCUACCACAGGAAUAACAACUGCUUUGCAUCCUUCAGAGCAAGGGUGAAAGGCAACUAUUGAAGCUCUUGGCCUCUCCUUGCAGAAGAUGGUGAAGAAAACCCUAUAAGCCAAGCACAUGGGGCACAUACCCCAAGAGUGCAGACCAACAUACCACUUGAACCAUUUCCAGAAUGUCACUGAUUGGGAAAUGGUCCACAAUUGACAUAGGUCAGAGAUGUCCACUCUUAACAUUGCCAAGGGUCCAAGAAGAAGGGUCAUCUUUAGGCACUGGAGUCUCCUGGUUGUGAUCCUCUGGAGUUUCCCCACAAUUCCCUAAGCAAAAGAGGAAGACCCCAAUUGGCUGAACACCAAGGAAAAUGAACAGGAAGAUGUCAACUGCAUGCAAAUGAAAUGCUCUGUUUUCCUUUCUCUCCUACACUUGAGUUCAAUAAAGAAGGUUCCUGUA